GAGGGUAUAGCUCAGUGGUAGAGCAUUUGACUGCAGAUCAAGAGGUCCAAAUCCGGUUCAAAUCCGGGUGCCCGCU